GUUUANNAAAAACAUGUCUUUNUGAAUUUAAUUUAAAGUCUAACCUGCCCACUGAAGUUUUAAAUGGCCGCAGUAUUUUAACUGUGCAAAGGUAGCAUAAUCAUUAGUCUUUUAAUUGAAGGCUGGAAUGAAUGGUUGAAUGAGAUAUUAACUGUUUCAUAUAAAUUAAUAAUAAAAUUUUAUUUUUUAGUUAAAAAGCUAAAAUUUGAUUAAAAGACGAGAAGACCCUAUAAAUCUUUAUAUUUAAUUAUAUAAUUAUUAUAUUGAUUAUUUAAAUUUUUAUAGAAUUAAAUAUUUUAUUGGGGUGAUAUUAAAAUUUAAAUAACUUUUAAUUUAAAAAAUACAAAAAUUAUUGAAUUAUUGAUCCAUAAAUAAUGAUUAAGAAAUUAAGUUACUUUAGGGAUAACAGCGUAAUUUUUUUAGAGAGUUCAUAUUAAUAAAAAAGUUUGCGACCUCGAUGUUGGAUUAAGAUAAAAUUUAGGUGAAGA
rnacentral:rRNA from 1 species